rnacentral:sRNA from 1 species
AAGGGGUCAGAGAUGGAGUUCUACCUUUAUCAGGUUUAGAGGAUCUUUUAUGGCCUAGUCGGGUUGAGAUAAUAAAUCCUUUAAGUAUUUCAGAAAAUACUAUGUUUAGGGGUUUUGCUUUUCUGUCUGGCCAAUGCAUAUUUUCUUGUUUGUUGCUUGGUUUUUCAGUGUUGGGGCUCAAACCCUGUGCCAUGAGCACUUUGGACAAAUGCUUGACUGCUGAGUUACGACCCUGACCCAUAUAUAAAAUAUCUCUCUCAUAAGGUAGCUUAAUAUUAAACUCACCAUCCUGCUUUUGCCUACAGAGUACUGGAAAAGCAGAACAUGGAAAAUGAUAAAAACCUUAUGCGCUGGUCUUUAUGCUUAUUCUCAGAAAAUAAUAAUGUUUUUAAGCUGAUAGUGAUCACAGGAGGAGUCUCAGCCCUAAGACCUACAGAAAGCAACUACCCUCCAGACAGCUCAGAUGCCAGAAAAGAUUUUUUAACUUCAAAUGAAAAGGCAAACGGCCACUCCUUUGAAGUGCAAGUAUCAAAGCUCUAAUAAGAGAUAAUAAAAUUGCUAUGUUGGGUUCACAUCUCCAGAGAACAUCAAGUCAAAGCACUC